CUAUCCUCGCACGCCCCUCGAUCCUCUUCCCCACUGCGAUGCCGCCGCCGCCUCCGCCGCCGCCGCCUUCUGCAACCCCGGCCGGUACCUGCCGCAUCCGCCGCCAUCGCUGACCAGUGAAACUCCCGCGUCACUCCUCUGCCACUUUCCCCGCUGCCACGAUGGACGCCCGUGCCCGCACGAGCGCCUACGCGAAACCCUAGCCUCGCAGCUUGGGCUCGUCGGCGCUGCUCCGCCUACCUCCCGCCGAUAGCGGCGCCCCGGAGUGACGCUUCCAUGGAACCCUCCGCUGGAUCCAUGCCUCAGCGCCACCCUACAGCACUCAAGCGCGCGUGCCCGCGAAACCCUAGCCGUGUGGGGCUUGGGCUCGCAACACGGUGCCCACGCCCGCGCCUCCACUACUCCCCUUCGUCGACCACGAGCUUCCCUGCCUCCCUAGUCUCCUGCUACCCGACGUCGACGACUACAACCUGUUCCUGUCGCCUGGGUGGCCGGGACCUCUCCCCACCGUGGUACGGUGAUAGGCUACGGAUACCCUCCCCUCUUCUUCAGCGACCUCGAUGGCUUCAUCCACGAUUACAACUACCACUGAUCAUAUCAUAGGUAGGGAGACAUUAUGCAUGGGAGGGUGAGAAAGUUUACCGAAGAGGGCUGCAUCCAUAUGACAAAUAAGUUUUGUUCUUCCCUUCAGAAUGAUACAUAUAUCCAAGGUUUUUGAGCCGCUAGCCCUCUAGCUGGGUGUGGAGAAUUUUCGGACAAAACCUGAUGCAUCGUCGACUGAUGCCUGACAUCACUUUUUGGCCGGCGGUCUGAACUGGCCUUGGUAAUUGUUUAUAAUCUGUUACAUUCUCUAGACUCUUUGCAUAAUAUCCAUGUAGGCAGCUAAUUGUUUUGUUCGGUUGUUUUAUAAUGAGCUGAUGAUCUGUAUAGAGCGAGCCAUUUCUGUUCUCGAUUAAUUAAUCUGGUAGAUUUAAGUACUGAACACACCAGGAACUUGGAGGAGUCCAGUAACCAGAGUCCUAGGACAUAUACACUACUAAUGGAUCAGUUAAUCGAGGUAGUAUUAAUUAGUGAGAGAAGCAAUUUUGUUGUCAUGACAGGCUAGACUAGGAUUCUUAAUAUUACCUGUUUUAUUAUAUGUUCGUGGAAAUACAGCUGCAUGGCAGCAAAAUUCAGGUGCUAUGGUAUGUCAUGAAGUUGCUGCCCCUCUAAGAAGUAUUAUGUUAUUUUCAGUAGGUGCAUACAUGUAGUACUGAUUGCUGUGUGCUGUUUAAACGUUUUUCAUGUAGCCUUAUGGCUAAUUUUCCUUGAUUGAGUUCUUAUGUUGUUUGUCGGAAAGUAUUAAUGCUUCUCAUGUCGGAAAGUAUUAAUACUACUGUCAGAUAUCUCUCACUUGUGUGCACAUAAAAAUGCAGAAAAUAUGCAUAGGGAAGAAGGUCAAGUAAAUAGCAUACUGGAGCUUAACUGGAGUUUUGAUAAAUAGCACGAUAAGCUAGGUGGAAUUGUCUGCGGAUCUAUCCAAAGUUCCUGGACUCAACCGCUACUUGCCGCAAAUGGGAAUUUGUCGGUACGUGAGGGCGUCGUGUUGGAAGCGUUUGGUGUUGCGGCCAUGUGUAUUGCGGUGGCAAUGUCAAGGCAUCUCACCGCAUCCAGACAACAACCUUGAGCCAUACGUUGUAUUGGGAGUUGGAAGGAAUUGCAUAUGAUACUACAUACAUGUGUGGUCUACCUGACGUGGAUUUCGCUAUUGUCAUGAUCCGCUAGAUGUCGCCACCACUAGUUGGACAUCUGGACAUGAGCAGAUUUGUUGUCUUCAAAUACGGCUAAAUAUGGAAGAGAUUGUGGAAAAUGAUAAGAAAGAGAGUGAAUCAGGAGACAUCGCUCAGGUGAGCUCAACAGAUGUUCAGGGUAGUGCCAAUGCUAUUGGAAAGCGUACAAUGUUGUCGGGAACAUCUAUCGGUGGUCCACAUGACAAGAGGCUUCACUACAUGGGUGCUAUGGUCUUGGUGCGGAAGUACGACAAACGAACAUCUUUUUCACCAAUGAUUUAUAAUUAGAUAUUCCUAUAUGAAAAUGGGUUUCUAUAAAACCCUACAUCUCGGAAGGUAGUGAGUACAUGAGAUGGGUUCCUAUUCUCCUAAACAACAAAGACUAUAUGUGGUCAUGGAUUAUUGUUAGAACGGAAUACUUUGUAAUUCUUGUCUCAA